UACGAAGGGGGCUAGCGUUGUUCGGAAUUACUGGGCGUAAAGCGAGCGUAGGUUGCUCGACAAGUCAGUGGUGAAAGCCCAGAGCUCAACUCUGGAACUGCCAUUGAAACUGUCGAGCUAGAGUCCGGAAGAGGCGAGUGGAAUUCCUGGUGUAGCGGUGAAAUGCGCAGAUAUCAGGAGGAACACCAAUGGCGAAGGCAGCUCGCUGGGACGGUACUGACGCUGAGACGCGAAAGCGUGGGGAGCAAACAGG
rnacentral:rRNA from 1 species